GAGAUGAGAAGAACCUGGAAUCCAACUCCAGAAGGACAGGACGGAAAGAGCCUACUAACCACCUCUAGAAGGAGACUCCUGCACUCCAACCUACCUAACACCAGGACAAGCUUCUGCCAGGGAACAGGGUCUCCCCAUGUAGUUCGGGCUGGCCUUGAAAUGCUGCAUCCCCUUUGUGAAGAGAACGACCCACUCCGUGCAGUUCGGCGGCUCCCAGCCCAUGCGGCGGAAGGUUAGAUCCCGAUUCCGGUCCAGAAAUGUCUCUGGCUGCAGGAGCCAAGGGUGGUCGUUGCUGGACGCUCGGCUCCAAGCCUG